AGUAUGCGAUAUUUCGGAACUGAGUCUAGUUCCUUCGAUACCAGUGUAAUCUAAUAAUCAUGAAAUCUGCUGUGUUGGUACUAGACUCAGUUCCGAAAUAUCGCAUACUCG